AUUGAACGCUGGCGGCAUGCCUUACACAUGCAAGUCGAACGGCAGCGGACCUUCGGGUGCCGGCGAGUGGCGAACGGGUGAGUAAUGUAUCGGAACGUACCUUUCAGUGGGGGAUAACGUAGCGAAAGUUACGCUAAUACCGCAUAUUCUGUGAGCAGGAAAGCAGGGGAUCGUAAGAACUUGAGCUGAUUGAGCGGCCGAUAACAGAUUAGCUAGCUGGUGAGGUAAAGGCUCACCAAGGCGACGAUCGGUAGCGGGUCUGAGAGGAUGAUCCGCCACACUGGAACUGAGAAACGGUCCAGACUCCUACGGGAGGCAGCAGUGGGGAAUUUUGGACAAUGGGGGCAACCCUGAUCCAGCCAUGCCGCGUGAGUGAAGAAGGCCUUCGGGUUGUAAAGCUCUUUCGUCCGGGAAGAAAUCGCAUCAGCUAAUACCUGGUGUGGAUGACGGUACCGGAAUAAGAAGCACCGGCUAACUACGUGCCAGCAGCCGCCGCCGUAA
rnacentral:rRNA from 1 species